rnacentral:lncRNA from 10 species
GAAUUUUUAUAGGCCGGGCACAGUGGCUCACACCUGUAAUCCCAGCACUUUGGGAGGCCAAGGCAGGCGGACUUCUUGAGGUCAGGAACUCAAGACCAGCCUAGCCAACAUGGUGAAACCCUGUCUCUACUAAAAAUACAAAAAUUAGCUUGGGUGGGGGGGGGCGGGCGGUUGGCACGUGCCUGUAAUGCCAGCUCCUUGGGAGGCUGAGGCAGGAGAAUCGCUUGAGCCCGGGGGACAGAAGUUGUAAUGAGCCGAGACUGAGCCACUGUACUCUAGCCUGGGUGACAGGAACAAGACUCUGUCUCAAAAAAAAAAUUAUUAUAAAGGUGUAGUAACUAAGACUACUCACACUGUGUGGUAUUGAUAGGGAGUGAACAAAUCCAGUACAGAAUAGAGAGUCCACAAACAGACACGAAUAUAUACAGACAGUGCGGCAGAAGUGGCAUGACUAACCAAUGGAGGAAGGGAUGCACUGUGACCCAGGGUUCCAAUCCCAAAUCGGAUACAAAAAUACAUUAUAUAUUUCUGAAAGAUUUAAAUGAGAAUAACAAAACUUGACAACUUUCUUUUUUUUGGUGGGGGGGUUGAGGGGACGGAAUUUGGCUCUCGUCGCCCAGGCUGGAGUGCAGCGGCGCAGUCUCAGCUCACCACAACCUCCGCCUCCUGGGUUCAAGUGAUUCUCCCGCCUCAGCUUCCUGAGUAGCUGGGAUUACAGACACGCGCCACUAUGCCUGGCUAAUUUUGUAUUUUUAGCAGAGACAGGUUUCUCCAUGUUGGCCAGACUGGUCUUGAACUCCCAACCUCAGGUGAUCCCCGCCCACCUCGGCCUCCCAAAGUGCCGGGAUUACAGGCAUGAGCCACUGCACCUGGCUGAAACUUGACAACUUUCACAAGAAAAUAUAGGGGCUUAUUCUAGUGAUUUCUAAUAGAACUGCUUUGCACAACUUAAAGGGGAUGCCGUCCACUCUGCAUCCCAGGAAAUGCCAUCCACACAACACAACAUAACUGGACAGCCUUGAAGUUGUGGAUCAUGAAAGUCCAGCUUGAGGAAGGGGAAGAUUUUAUAAAGAAGACACGAAAUCAGAAACCAUAAGGGCAAUGACUAAUAAAGUUGACUUCAUUAAAAUUAGAAACAGGGGAACUGUUAUGAAUGAAAAGAGAGUAAAGACAUUACAGGAAGAUGCAAAGCUUUGAUUGAAUCCUGGUCAUUAAAAGCAAUCUUCCUGCCUCGGCCUCCCAAAGUGCUGGAAUUAUGGGCAUGAGCCACAGCUCAACUGAAUUUCUCCCAAGGGCCAGGUGCCGUGGCUCAUACUUGUAAUAGCGCUUUGGGAGGCUGAGGUGGAAGGAUCACUUAAACCCAGGAGUUUGAGAGCAGCAACAUAACAAGACUCUAUCUCUACAAAAUUAAUUAAUUAAUUAAUUAAAAAUUAGCUGGGCAUGGUGGCACAGGCAGCUUGCUCGGAGGGCUUAGAUGGGAGGACUCUAACCACCCAGCAGGUUCACCUUGCCCACUGCCUAGAUAGAGCUGAUUUACCAAGACAGGAAAAUUUAAACAAAGAAACAGCGAUUCACAGCCGGCUGCAUGGGAGACCAGAGUGUUGUGUUUUAUUGUGUUUUGUUUUGUUUUGUUUGAGACGGAGUCUCACUCUGUUGCCCAGGCUGGAGUGCAGGGACACAAUCUCGGCUCACUGCAACCUCUGCCUCCAGAGUUCAAGCGAUUAUCCUGCCUCGGCUGCCCUCGUAACUGGGAUAACAGUCGAGCGCCACCACGCCCAGCUAAUUUUUUAUAUUUUUGGUAGAGACGGGGUUUCACCAUAUUAGCCAGGAUGGUCUCGAUCUCCUGACCUCAAGAUCCGCCCACCUCGGCCUCCCAAAGUGCUGGGAUUACAGGCGUGAGCCACCACGCCCGGCCUGGGACGGGAGAUUUAUUACUACUCAAAUCAGUUUCCCCUAGCACUUAGAGAUUUUUAGGAUAAUUUGGUUGGGGGUUGGGGGUUGGGGGGCAGUGAGUCAGGAGUGCUGAUUGAUUGGUUCGGAGAUGAAGAUGUAAGAAGUGGGAGCUGUCUUCUUGUGCUGAGUCAGUUCCUGGGUCGGGGCCAGAAGAUCAGAUGAGCCAGUUUAUCCAUCUGGGUGGUGCCAGCUGAUCCAUCAAGUGCAGAGUCUGCAAAGUAUCCCAAGCGCUGAUCUUAGGUUUUACAAUAGUGAUGUUAUCUCCAGGAGAAAUUCAGAGAGGGUCAGAAUCUUACAGCCUCCUCGGAGGUUGCAGUGAACCAAGAUCAAACUACUGCACUCCAGCCUGGGUGACACAGCAAGACUCCGUCUCAGGAAACAAAAGAAAAAGAAAAUGAAAAAAAACCCACAAUCUUACAGCUUCCAGCUUCAUGGCUCGUAAACUGUAAUUUCUAUCUUUUGGCUAAUUUGUUAGUCCUACAGAAGCAGUCUACUCCCCAUGCAAGAAGAGGGUUUGUUUUGGGAAAGGGCUGCUAUUGUUUUGGUUUCAAACUAUAAACUAAGUUUCUCCCAAAGUUAGUUUGGCCCAGGAAUGAACAAGGACAGCUUGGAAAAGUUUUGACAAAGGAAGGAAGGAAAAAAGGGAGGGAGAGAGGGAGGGAGGGAAGGAGGAAGGAAGGAAAGAAGGGAGCGAGGGAAGGAAGGAAGGAAGGAAGGAAGGAAGGAAGGAAGGAAGGAAGGAAGGAAGAUGGAGUCGGUUAGGUCAGAUCUCUUUUACUGUCUCAGUUAUAGUCUUGCAAUGGUAGUUUCAUGAUCACUUGAGCCCAGAAGGUCCAGCCUGCAGUGAGCUGUGAUUGAGCCACUACACUCAGCCUGGGCUAUACAGAGUGAGACCCUGUGUCACUAGCAAUGAUAAUGAUAAUAAUAACUUUUAAAAGUUUAAAAAGAAAUAAAUUUAAUUUACCCUUAAACUUGAAAGCAAGGAUGAUAACAGUCCCUCCCUAAAACUAAUCCCCUCCUUGCUCAAGGACCAAAAACUGCCUUUGUGGAACCAAUAAAAGGCCACAAGAUUAGGAUUGUGGGAGGGGCCUGAACUCUGCUAAAAUGUAAGCGUAGUUUAUUUUUCUUUUCUUUCUUCUUUUUUGAGACUGAGUUUUGCUCUUGUUGCCCAGGCUGGAAUGCAGUGGUGCAAUCUCAACUUACCGCAACCUCCGCCUCCCGGGUUCAAGCAAUUCUCCUGCCUCGGCCUCCGAAGCAGAUGGGAUUACAGACGCCUGCCACCAUGCCCAGCUAAUUUUUGUAUUUUUAGUAGAGACAGAGUUUCACCGUAUUGGCCAGGCUGGUCUCAAACUCCUGAACUCAGGUAAUCUACCUGCCUCCACCUCCCAAAGUGCUAGGAUUACAGGCGUGAGCCACCACGCCCAGCCUGUAAGUGUAGUUUCUAUAAUCCCUUUCUACUCAGGAAUCAUGUGGCCAGAAGCCACAAAACAGGUGUAGUUUCUCCAUCCCCAGUUGCUUCUAUAGAUAUUGUCACUAUUGCAGAACCUACGAUUACUUUUUUGAGAUUUUUCUUUGGACUGACCACCUGGGCU